GACCNUGCGGAAGGAUCAUUA
rnacentral:rRNA from 1 species